rnacentral:lncRNA from 1 species
GCGACUGCUGGUUGAGAGCUGGGAUUAAAUAGAUUCCUUUCGAGGGGGUUUUCCGCGAGUUUUCUGCACCUAUAUAUAGGUUGUCCUAGGGUUUCUUGAGCUAACCCUAACCCUAGAACCCCCCAGCUAACCCCAGCCGCCCCUGCCAUCCCAGCACCUCCCUGCCCUGCCCGUGCUCGCGUUCCGGCCGCCCCCGAGCGUCGCCGGAGCCGCCGGAAGAGGCUGCAACCAGCCGGGUCUGCCCAGACCCGAGCCAGGCCGAGCUCAGGUUGCGGGCUUUAGAACCGCACUUCCCCUGCGGCCAAGCCCCCCUGUCG